rnacentral:sRNA from 1 species
UUAAAAAAAGAAAAAAUACAUAGAGAAAGUGGUAAGAAAUUACAGUUGAAAGAUACAGACAUGAAAUUUUGCAAGAUGAAAAAGAAUCCCAGAGGCAGGUAUAGUAAUAACUGAGUCUAAAUAUAUUUAUUAUUACUAACUUUAGAAAUGGUAGAUUAUUAUAAUUUUGUUAUGAAUUUAAUUGCAAAUGUCCAGGCUCACGUAUCUAGUGUCUAAGCUCAUGGUACUACUGAGGGCAGACUGAAUCCUGAAGGUGUUGACUUCAUGAAUGGAUUAAGUCACUGGCAUGUCAUAAUUUGAUGACAUUAUUGGAAUGUUCUAGGGACUAGGAGUUGGGGUCUGCUAGUAGGAAGUUAAUCACCAGGGGCCAGGCCUUGAAGGAAAUAGCUUGUUCCUGACCAUUUUCUCUCUGUCUCUUAUUGUCCUGGCUUUCUAAAGGUCCCCAGGUUUGGGAAAAUCCUAAGGUCUACAUCAAAUUAAAAUGACAUUGAAAAGGGAAAAUAAGUAUGUUCAUCUGGUCUACACGAGAAAUCGGUGUCAUCGCUGCAGCUAACGCUGUGGACUUCAUGAGUAAAGACAGCUCAGCGGGAAGAUGGUCUCUCACACCAGGUGGUCCUGGGAGGUAAAGGAAACGAGCUGAUCCAGUUGGGACAGAUGGCCCUCUACCUUGUAGGCAGCAGGAGCCACAGUAGCAGGAACAUUUUGACAACAUCUCCACUCAGCGUGAGAAGGAAGCCUUCUCUGUGAGGCCUUGACAAUGGGCCCAUAGAGCAUCAGGAAUAAGGGAGAGGUGGACACGACCUAAGGUGACCUCACUUCCAAUGCAUGUUGGUGUGCAGAAAUAAAUGCUGACUUCUGCCAUACA